rnacentral:rRNA from 1 species
AUUGAACGCUGGCGGCAGGCUUAACACAUGCAAGUCGAGCGAGUGGCGGACGGGUGAGUAAUGUCUGGGAAACUGCCCGAUGGCGGGGGAUAACUACUGGAAACGGUAGCUAAUACCGCAUACCAUCAGAGGUGCCCAGAUGGGAUUAGCUAGUUGGUGGGGUAAUGGCUCACCUAGGCGACGAUCCCUAGCUGGUCUGAGAGGACGACCAGCCACACUGUGACUGAGAAACGGACCAGACUCCUACGGUAGGCAGCAGUGGGAAAUAUUGCACAAUGGGGGCAGGCCUGAUGCAGCCAUGCCGCGUGUGUGAUGAAGGCCUUCGGGUUGUAAAGCACGUUCAGCGAGGAGGCGUUACUCGCAGAAGAAGCACCGGCUAACUCCGUGCCAGCAGCCGCGGUAAUAC